rfam:Trichobilharzia regenti genome assembly, scaffold: TRE_scaffold0020333
AUCCAGAUGACGAGUCCCAAAUAGGACAGUGGAAAUGCGCAUCCUGGAU